CAAACCGAUCAUGUGUGAUAGCCGGCAGGCGUUGCAUGGUCGGGGUUGUGGGACUCUUACGGUUUUCUGCCGAAAACCACGUAGAUAGUUGUUGUAUAGACAAAUGGUCUUGAAAGGCCAGCCGCAGAGGGUGCCAGCCCCGUAGUUGAAAUGCAGCACUAAUGCGAAGAGGAUCCCAAGUAUCACGGGGCCCGAGAAAUCCCGUGUGAAUCUGCCAGGACCACCUGGUAAGCCUAAAUACUCCCAGAUGACCGAUAGCGGACAAGUACCGUGAGGGAAAGGUGAAAAGUACCCCGGGAGGGGAGUGAAAUAGAACCUGAAACCGUUUGCUUACAAUCCGUUGGAGCCUCCUUGUAGGGGUGACAGCGUGCCUUUUGAAGAAUGAGCCUGCGAGUUAGCGAUAUGUGGCGAGGUUAACCCGUGAGGGGUAGCCGUAGCGAAAGCGAGUCUGAAUAGGGCGAUUCAGUCGCAUGUCCUAGACCCGAAGCGAAGUGAUCUAUCCAUGGCCAGGUUGAAGCGACGGUAAGACGUCGUGGAGGACCGAACCCACUUGGGUUGAAAACCGAGGGGAUGAGCUGUGGAUAGGGGUGAAAGGCCAAUCAAACUUCGUGAUAGCUGGUUCUCUCCGAAAUGCAUUUAGGUGCAGCGUUGCGUGUUUCUUGCCGGAGGUAGAGCUACUGGAUGGCCGAUGGGCCCUAAAAGGUUACUGACGUCAGCCAAACUCCGAAUGCCGGUAAGUAAGAGCGCAGCAGUGAGACGGUGGGGGAUAAGCUUCAUCGUCGAGAGGGAAACAACCCAGACUACCGACUAAGGUCCCAAAGCGUGUGCUAAGUGGAAAAGGAUGUGGAGUUGCAUAGACAACCAGGAGGUUGGCUUAGAAGCAGCCACCCUUGAAAGAGUGCGUAAUAGCUCACUGGUCAAGUGAUUCCGCGCCGACAAUGUAACGGGGCUCAAGCACACCACCGAAGUCGUAGCAUUCAAACUAUAGGUAGGCCUUCGUGGUCCAGCCGUGUGAAUGGGUAGGAGAGCGUCGUGUGGCGAGCGAAGCGGCGGAGUGAUCCAGCCGUGGACGCCACACGAGUGAGAAUGCAGGCAUGAGUAGCGAAAGACGGGUGAGAAACCCGUCCUCCGGAAGACCAAGGGUUCCAGGGCCAGGCUAAUCCGCCCUGGGUAAGUCGGGACCUAAGACGAGGCCGACAGGCGUAGUCGAUGGACAACGGGUUGAUAUUCCCGUACCCGCGAAGAACCGCAAGAGCUAAACCAGUAAUGCUAAGAGUCCGAAUUCUCUUUCUGAUCCCUUCGGGGUGAGGAUUGAGAGCUAGCACUCGACCCUAUGCUGGCGCGGCUAGCGUAUUAACAGGUGUGACGCAGGAAGGUAGCUGAGCCGGGCGAUGGUUGUCCCGGUGUAAGGAUGUAGGGCGAGGAAUAGGCAAAUCCGUUCCUCACGAAGCCUGAGAUCCGACGCGUACCCCUCACGGGGGAAAUCAGUGAUCCUAUGCUGCCAAGAAAAGCAUCGACGCGAGGUUCUAGUGGCCCGUACCCCAAACCGACUCAGGUGGUCAGGUAGAGAAUACUAAGGAGAUCGAGAGAAUCGUGGUUAAGGAACUCGGCAAAAUGCCCCCGUAACUUCGGGAGAAGGGGGGCCGGAUUGGUGAAGGGAUUUACUCCUGGAGCUAUGAAGGCCGCAGAGACCAGUGGGAAGCGACUGUUUACUAAAAACACAGGUCCGUGCUAAGUCGCAAGACGAUGUAUACGGACUGACGCCUGCCCGGUGCUGGAAGGUUAAGAGGAGCGGUUAGCACUUGUGCAAAGCUGCGAAUUUAAGCCCCAGUAAACGGCGGUGGUAACUAUAACCAUCCUAAGGUAGCGAAAUUCCUUGUCGGGUAAGUUCCGACCUGCACGAAUGGCGUA
rnacentral:rRNA from 1 species